GAUGAACGCUAGCGACAGGCUUAACACAUGCAAGUCGAGGGGCAGCACGGGAGUAGCAAUACAACUGGUGGCGACCGGCGCACGGGUGAGUAACGCGUAUGCAACCUACCUAUCAGAGGGGAAUACCCGGCGAAGGUCGGACUAAUACCGCAUAAAACAGGGGCACCGCAUGGUGAUAUUUGUUAAAGAAAUUCGCUGAUAGAUGGGCAUGCGUUCCAUUAGGUAGUUGGUGAGGUAACGGCUCACCAAGGCGACGAUGGAUAGGGGAACUGAGAGGUUGGUCCCCCACACUGGUACUGAGACACGGACCAGACUCCUACGGGAGGCAGCAGUGAGGAAUAUUGGUCAAUGGGCGGGAGCCUGAACCAGCCAAGUCGCGUGAAGGAAGAAGGAUCUAUGGUUCGUAAACUUCUUUUGCAGGGGAAUAAAGUGCAGGACGUGUCCUGUUUUGUAUGUACCCUGAGAAUAAGGAUCGGCUAACUCCGUGCCAGCCGCCGCCGUAAUAC
rnacentral:rRNA from 1 species